rnacentral:lncRNA from 1 species
AAGGGCAAUCUUGUUAUCAAAACAGAUUUCAAAGAUUUGUUUAAACGUUAUUGGGUUAUGCUGGUGUUGGGCCAAAGGAUUAGUAUUAUUAUUAUUAUUAGGGUUGUUAAAUUCGUAAUGACGUGGAGGUAUGAUUGGAUGAGAAUAUUUCAUCCUAUGUGGCACCUCUAAUUGAGCUCUAAAUUAGUCCCUUUUAUAUAGUAGGAUA